UUACCUUUUUGUCUGAGAAGCCAUGGUUGCCGUGUGAGGGUGACUAACUCUUAUAUUCCUCCAACACGGAAAUUAUGACUACCACCAAGAUACGAGGUUUUGAUCAGUCGGAUUCGUGACAGAAAAAUACAUCAUUGUCUCGGUAAUUCAACCAAAUUGACCCAGUAGGGACAUGCAGCAAGUUUAAACGAGGACACGGAUCUUGUAGUCUAAGAGUAGACUUGUUAUGUGAAAGAAGACAAAGUAAACAUCGUGUUUUGUCUAGCUUCUCAAGACUGUGCUAAACGUGGCAACUAGUACUGUUUUUAUACAGCUGUGUAUAUUUUAUUCGAGGAAACUUAUUUUUAAUCUAAAAUGACGACAGCUUUUGUUCCACACAGCAUUUACAGGCGGGAAGCCAGCACAGGUAACGCAGCUAGCACAUGUCCGAGUUCAACGACAGAUGGCGCGGCGAAAAGCCAAUCAGCUGGUGAUGAUAUUGAUCAAAUAAAACCCGCAGCUGACAACACGCAACAGACUGUCGCAGUCAAAGCAACGGUGCUGAGACCGGCAGGCUUUAAGCCGCAGUUCGAUCUAGGCUACAGCGGAUCAUCAAGAUCAGAGUCCGUUAAGCCAAGGAGAAUCAUGUCACGGACAGGUUCGGAGAGCGAGGGGAGUCAGGGCGCCACCGGUGGGGGGUUGGACUCCGAGGUCGACCCCCUGUUAACGGCAGGGGAUGGUGAGAGUAGGUCCUCUAAAGAAUCGGAACCAGAAUUAAGGGCCAUGGCAUCUGGAGUUGAGUACAGGCCCCGCAGUGAUGCUUUUCAUUCACAAAGUGAGCGACUACAGGAGAAUCGAGAGGAGUCGGACAAUGCAGUGUUUGAACUGCAGGCUCCAAUCAAAGGAUUUGAAGUCAUGGAGGCAAGGGCAAAAUUUACGGUGUAUAAAAUUCAUGUUCAAAGAGGUCCCGAGGAGUCAUGGUUUGUCUUCCGCAGGUACACAGACUUUGUCAGAAUAAACCGACAGCUGAGCAAACUCUUCCCUGGAUUUCGAUUGGCUCUUCCUCCCAAGCGGUGGUUCCGUGACAACUACGAUGUCAAUUUUCUGGAAGAUCGAAUGCUAGGACUUCAAGCUUUUAUAAACAACAUUCUUGGACACAGAGAAAUGAGCCAAAGUGCCCCAGUGCGAGAAUUUUUCUGCAUGGAUGACCCCCCUGGUCCACACGACAGUUUAGAAGAAAGCAGGGCACAUUGUGAGUAUUUGGAAGACUUGAACUUUAACCUUCAGCGAAGUUUGAAGGCGAAAGACUGUCAGAUCGAGUUGCUGAGAGAGGAACUAGAGCUAACGCGGCAGGAUUUGGAGGGAGCGCAGAGGGCUUUAUGGAAAAGAAAAUGACACCCCUCCCCCUUGAAUUUGCUGGCUACAAGCCUGCCUCUACAUAAAGCACUCCUUCCACUAUCUUCCACUUGUAAUAGUAUUGGCAUAAUUUCCCACUGGGAUAAUUUAUUAGAUCUGAUAAGCCGUGAAAGAGAAAAGAACAGGCGCCGCACAGUUUCCCCUACAUCGAUGCGUGAGAGCAUG
rnacentral:misc_RNA from 1 species